GUGAGUCAUCGAAUCUUUGAACGCAUAUUGCGCUCUUUGGUAUUCCGAAGAGCAUGCUUGUUUGAGUAUCAGUAAACACCUCAAAGCUUUUGAUUUCUUUUUGAAAGCUUUGGACUUGAGCAAUCCCAACACCAAUCUUUUUCAGAUCGGCGGCGGGUUGCUUGAAAUGCAGGUGCAGCUGGACAUUCUCCUGAGCUAAAAGCAUAUUCAUUUAGUCCCGUCAAACGGAUUAUUACUUUUGCUGCAGCUAACAUAAAGGGAGUUUGACCGUAUUGGCUGACUGAUGCAGGAUUUCACAAGGGUCGGCAACGAUUCUUGUUAAACUCGAUCUCAAAUCAAGUAAGACUACCCGCUGAACUUAAGCAUAUCAAUAAGCGGAGGA
rnacentral:misc_RNA from 1 species